GCCCCCUGAGCUCCGUCGGUAGAGCAGCCGACUCUUAUGCAUGCUUUCACCAAGCAGCGUAAUCGGCAGGUCGUGGGUUCGAGACCCACAGGAGGCU
rnacentral:tRNA from 2 species